AGAAAAAGUGUGGGAUUUCAAGGAAUCAAGCAAUCAAAGGUGGUGAGUCUUCUGAUAAAGACAAAGGAAUUGUACCUGAGGACCAGUAGUCUGAGUAUUUCGAAAAUCCCCACUCUAGACAUUGCUCAGAUUAGACUGUAGAUAGUUGAUCUCAUUGAGGACUACCGUUGGGUUUGCAUUUUUCAAAUUGUAGGUUUAUAGUUCUCUUUACUUUUGUUUAUUCGGGAGCUCACUUAUUAUUG